GACGAACGCUGGCGGCGUGCUUAACACAUGCAAGUCGAACGGAAAGGCCCUGCUUUUGUGGGUUGCUCGAGUGGCGAACGGGUGAAUAACACGUGAGUAACCUGCCCUUGACUUUGGGAUAACUUCAGGAAACUGGGGCUAAUACCGGAUAGGAGCUCCUGCUGCAUGGUGGGGGUUGGAAAGUUUCGGCGGUUGGGGAUGGACUCGCGGCUUAUCAGCUUGUUGGUGGGGUAGUGGCUUACCAAGGCUUUGACGGGUAGCCGGCCUGAGAGGGUGACCGGCCACAUUGGGACUGAGAUACGGCCCAGACUCCUACGGGAGGCAGCAGUGGGGAAUAUUGCACAAUGGGCGGAAGCCUGAUGCAGCAACGCCGCGUGCGGGAUGACGGCCUUCGGGUUGUAAACCGCUUUCGCCUGUGACGAAGCGUGAGUGACGGUAAUGGGUAAAGAAGCACCGGCUAACUACGUG
rnacentral:rRNA from 1 species